UACGAAGGGGGCUAGCGUUGCUCGGAAUCACUGGGCGUAAAGCGCACGUAGGCGGAUUGUUAAGUCAGGGGUGAAAUCCUGGAGCUCAACUCCAGAACUGCCUUUGAUACUGGCGAUCUUGAGUCCGGGAGAGGUGAGUGGAACUGCGAGUGUAGAGGUGAAAUUCGUAGAUAUUCGGCAAGAACACCAGUGGCGAAGGCGGCUCACU
rnacentral:rRNA from 1 species